UAAGAGGCCAUGUCUCCUCAGGUGAAGACAUC
rnacentral:piRNA from 1 species